CCUACGGGGCGCAGCAGUGGGGAAUAUUGCACAAUGGGGGAAACCCUGAUGCAGCGACGCCGCGUGAGUGAAGAAGUAUUUCGGUACGUAAAGCUCUAUCAGCAGGGAAGAAAAUGACGGUACCUGACUAAGAAGCCCCGGCUAACUACGUGACAGCAGCCGCGGUAAUACGUAGGGGGCAAGCGUUAUCCGGAUUUACUGGGUGUAAAGGGAGCGUAGACGGCAGCGCAAGUCUGGAGUGAAAUCCCAUGGCUUAACCAUGGAACUGCUUUGGAAACUGUGCAGCUAGAGUGCAGGAGAGGUAAGCGGAAUUCCUAGUGUAGCGGUGAAAUGCGUAGAUAUUAGGAGGAACACCAGUGGCGAAGGCGGCUUACUGGACUGUAACUGACGUUGAGGCUCGAAAGCGUGGGGAGCAAACAGGAUUAGAUACCCCAGUAGUC
rnacentral:rRNA from 1 species